AUGCGCGGUCUGCCUCCCGCGGCGGGCCGGGUCUCCAGGGAGGACCUGAGUUUUCUUCACCCAUUGUCAGGGAGGCGCCAUCGCCCUGGCUUUGGGGCUGGGGCCUCCGGGGAGGUUCCGGUAGGGGCGUUGGAGAGGCCGCUCUUUUUGCAAGGCCCGAGACGGCGGGCCUUGCGCAGGCCGCCCUAUUCCGCGCCCUCAGGGCGUCAGUAUCAGCCUGAGGCUGGAUACCCCCGCUGGGCCCAGAUGCCCCCGCUGGGCCCGGAGCAUCCUCCGGCGCUGCCCUCCCAGAGCCACGCAGAGGCUGAGGUGGCGCGGGGGCGGCCCUGGCUCCGCGAGAAGCGGCGGCAGCGAGGGCUGGAGGACCCGGGCUGCGGGGCUCCGGGGCGUCUGGCCUGGGUGGGACUGAGCCCAUCCAGGGACUGGGACUCCGGGGUUCUGGUGUAGGUGGAUCCGGGGCAGGCUCAGGACCAAGUCCCUCUCCUUCCACCAAGGAGCGCCCAGAGGCCGGCGGGAGCUCCAGGUUCACCUCCUCCUCCUCCAGCUUGACUACAACACAAAUGAAUCCACUCAAAUGUUGGCAAGUGGAGCAGAGUCCCAGAACAGGUGCUGCAGCAGCCCGGCUGGAAGCGAUGCAGCAUCCAGGACGACGGAGGAAGGGGCAGAGAGGGACCUCUGCUUUCCAGGCUGCCUUUUAUACUGCCUCUGGUCACCUGACGUGGAACGUACCCUAACCUAAUCAGUUACAUGAGGCGCUUGGAAACCACCGUCAAUUGGACCGCACUGGGAAACACAGAUGAACAAAGUCAACACCGCUUUGUCCUGCAGUGCCUGGCUCCUUUUUCAGCUCGUCUUGCGACUCCAGAAACUCCUGGAGGGCAGAGGCAUGCCUGCCAUCUUCAUCAUUGCAUUACCACCACCCAACACUAUCGGGGGACCUGCCCUGAUAAUCAGUCUACAGGUGUAUCCAGCAGCUCCAGAGAGACAGCGACCAGCGAGAAGGGGCCAUGAUGAUGGAGGUGGUUUUGUCAAAACGAAAAUGGGGAUAUGUAGGGAAAAGAAAGAGAGAUCAGACUGUUACUGUGUCUACAUAGAAAGGGAAGACAUAAGAGACUCCAUUUUGAAAAAGACCUGUACUUUAAACAAUUGCUUUGCUGAGAUGUUGUUAAUCUGUAGCUUUGCCCCAGCCACUUUGCCCCAACCACUUUGACCCAAUCUGGAGCUCAUAAAAACAUGUGUUGUAUGAAAUCAAGGUUUAAGGCAUGUAGGGCUGUGCAGGACGUGCCUUGUUAACCAAAUGUUUGCAAGCAGUAUACUUGGUAAAAGUCAUCACCAUUCUCUCAUCUCAAUAAACCAGGGGCACAAUGCACUGUGGAAAGCCGCAGGGACCUCUGCCCUUGAAAGCUGGGUAUUGUCCAAAGUUCCUCCCCAUGUGAUAGUCUGAAAUAUGGCCUCGUGGGAUGAGAAAGACCUGACGGUCCCCCAGCGCGACACCCAUAAAAGAUCUGUGCUGAGGUGGAUUAGUCAAAGAGGAAAGACUUGCAGUUGAGAUAGAGGAAGGCCACUGUCUCCUGACUGCCCCUGGGAACUGAAUGUCUCGGUAUAAAACACGAUUGUACAUUUGUUCAGUUCUGAGAUGGGAGAAAAACCGCCCUAUGGUGGGAGGCGAGACAUGUUUACAGCAAUGCUGCCUUGUUAUCCUUUACUCCACUGAGAUGUCUGGGUGGAGAGAAACAUAAAUCUGGCUUACAUGCACGUCCAGUCAUAGUACCUUCCCUUGAACUUCAUUAUGACAUGGAUUCUAUUGCUCACGUUUGUUGCUGACCUUCUCCUUAUUAUCACCCUGCCCUCCUACUACAUUCCUUUUUGCUGAAAUAAUGAAGAUAAUAAUCAAUAAAAACUGAGGGAAUUCAG
rnacentral:lncRNA from 1 species